GGGUUUGUAGCUCAGCUGGUUAGAGCACUGUGUUGAUAACGCAGGGGUCGUAGGUUCGAGUCCUACCAGACCCA
rfam:Chromobacterium sp. 37-2 Cmus_37-2.1, whole genome shotgun sequence.